GAAAUACUAAUUUGCUGUGUGUCUGCAGGGCUUGCAUGGCAGUUUCUACCUCUUGGAGAGAAAAAAGCAGUUGGAGAAGCUGCAAGCACAGGUAUGCCAGGAAGGCCAAAUCUUCUAAACUGAUUUUUGCAAGUGGAAGAGACAAAAGAAAAGCUGAUAAUUUUGUCUGGUGGCUGCUUCUGCUUUGGUUUAGAGCCACAGGAGUAAAUGAGUCCUUGAGUGAAUAACUACGUAUCACCCUAAAGAGAACAACCCUCAUGUACUUCAUCUGCAAAAAAUUCAGAAAACUGGAAACUACAUAACAACAACUAGCAGGAUAACCGGGCAGCUCAAGACUUUGGCACCAGGAUUUUGUAGCCAUCUUUGAUGUAUCCAAGUCUCUCCUGUGUUUCAUUCCCAAAGGAAUUUGCCUCAUAAAAAAGGCAGAGAUUAAAUGAUACAAAUAUGUAGAGAAAAUGUCACCUAGCAAAAUCAACAGAGGGGAAAAACAGUGUGUAGAGAAGAGAAUUCUACCACAACCAAACAAAACUAUAAAAAUAAGAUACAGUAGUAACAGCAUUAGACUUUUUGUGUUUAAUGUAGAGUCUGUGGAGUGGUGCUGAGUAGAAGUUCAG